rnacentral:misc_RNA from 1 species
GAUGAAGAACGUAGCGAAAUGCGAUACGUAAUGUGAAUUGCAAAUUCAGUGAAUCAUCGAGUCUUUGAACGCACAUUGCGCCCCCUGGUAUUCCGGGGGGCAUGCCUGUCCGAGCGUCAUUGCUGCCCUCAAGCACGGCUUGUGUGUUGGGCCCCGUCCUCCGAUCCCGGGGGACGGGCCCGAAAGGCAGCGGCGGCACCGCGUCCGGUCCUCGAGCGUAUGGGGCUUUGUCACCCGCUCUGUAGGCCCGGCCGGCGCUUGCCGAUCAACCCAAAUUUUUAUCCGGGUUGACCUCGGAUCAGGUAGGGAUACCCGCUGAACUUAAGCAUAUCAAUAAGCGGAGGA